rnacentral:lncRNA from 1 species
GCUGCUCUCCAUACACUGCCUAGGGGCAGCCCUGCUCUUCAGGAGCAGUCACAGAGCUCUAAUACUGCCACCUCAGUAAAGCUGUUUUCUUCUCCCACUGGCUCACUCUUGAAUUCUCUCCAAGCAAAGCCAGGAAACUUCUCAGGCUAAGACCCAAUUCUAGGGCUUACCUGCCUUACAUCAAGCCUACACUUGCUAAAAGUUUUUCACGAACAUUAAAGUACCCUGAGAGCAGGUGACUAUUAUUCCCCUUUUUAGUUAAAGAAACUCAUCAUGGCCAGGCGCAAUGGCUCAUGCCUGUAAUCCCAGCACUUUGGUAGGCCGAGGUGGGUGGAUCACCUGAGGUCAGGAGUUCGAGACCAGCCUGGCCAACAUGAUGAAACCCCGUC